GAUCCAGUGGCCCUGAGGGACCAACACAAUGUAAGGAGCUGGACCUUGUGCACUCUUGCUCCUCUCUUGCUGCCUCCUUAUCUAACUUCUGCUCAGUCACCUCUGCAUUCUACCUGUAGAAAAGUGACUCAACAUCAUUCCAGAAGUCCGGAAUUCUACAAGAAUCAUAUUAGAAAGAGCCACUGUACUUGAAAGAAAGCAAUCAUCUCUGAGAGCUCUUCAAUUACAACGAAAUUGUCAGCUAGAUAGAAGGAAUUAAUACUAGUGUUUGAUACCACCUUACGAUGACUAUAGGAGAACAGUAUUCUAUUUAGCCAGCCACAACAUUUGAACAUCAUCUUUCGAAUCAAAGGCAAAAAGCAAAGAAAACCUCCAGCCAUGGCCCUGUGAAAAAUCAUCCAGAUGGAAAAUUUCUGUGAAAGAAACGUGCAACUACCACUCCAAUGUCUUACUUUAAGAA
rnacentral:lncRNA from 1 species